GGCUGGUCCAAAUAUAGUGAGUUAUCUCAAUUGAUUGUUCACAUUCAGUUACAGAUUGAACUCCUUGUUCUACUUUCUCCCUCCAUCUCACUACUGCACUUGAAUAGUCUGGA
rnacentral:Y_RNA from 1 species